rnacentral:misc_RNA from 1 species
GAUGAAGAACGCAGCGAAAUGCGAUAAGUAAUGUGAAUUGCAGAAUUCAGUGAAUCAUCGAAUCUUUGAACGCACAUUGCGCCCGCCAGUAUUCUGGCGGGCAUGCCUGUUCGAGCGUCAUUUCAACCAUCAAGCCCCCAGCUUGUGUUGGGGACCUGCGGCUGCCGCAGGCCCUGAAAAGCAGUGGCGGGCUCGCUGUCACACCGAGCGUAGUAGCAUACAUCUCGCUCUGGGCGUGCUGCGGGUUCCGGCCGUUAAACCACCUUCAUAACCCAAGGUUGACCUCGGAUCAGGUAGGAAGACCCGCUGAACUUAAGCAUAUCAAUAAGCGGAGGA